UACGUAGGGGGCAAGCGUUGUCCGGAAUUAUUGGGCGUAAAGCGCGCGCAGGCGGUCAUUUAAGUCUGGUGUUUAAUCCCGGGGCUCAACCCCGGAUCGCACUGGAAACUGGGUGACUUGAGUGCAGAAGAGGAGAGUGGAAUUCCACGUGUAGCGGUGAAAUGCGUAGAUAUGUGGAGGAACACCAGUGGCGAAGGCGGGUCUCUGGGCCGUAACUGACGCUGAGGAGCGAAAGCAUGGGGAGCGAACAGG
rnacentral:rRNA from 1 species